rnacentral:rRNA from 2 species
UCGGAGAGUUUGAUCCUGGCUCAGGAUGAACGCUGGCGGCGUGCCUAAUACAUGCAAGUCGAGCGAACUGAUUAGAAGCUUGCUUCUAUGACGUUAGCGGCGGACGGGUGAGUAACACGUGGGCAACCUGCCUGUAAGACUGGGAUAACUUCGGGAAACCGAAGCUAAUACCGGAUAGGAUCUUCUCCUUCAUGGGAGAUGAUUGAAAGAUGGUUUCGGCUAUCACUUACAGAUGGGCCCGCGGUGCAUUAGCUAGUUGGUGAGGUAACGGCUCACCAAGGCAACGAUGCAUAGCCGACCUGAGAGGGUGAUCGGCCACACUGGGACUGAGACACGGCCCAGACUCCUACGGGAGGCAGCAGUAGGGAAUCUUCCGCAAUGGACGAAAGUCUGACGGAGCAACGCCGCGUGAGUGAUGAAGGCUUUCGGGUCGUAAAACUCUGUUGUUAGGGAAGAACAAGUACAAGAGUAACUGCUUGUACCUUGACGGUACCUAACCAGAAAGCCACGGCUAACUACGUGCCAGCAGCCGCGGUAAUACGUAGGU